UAGGGAAUCUUCCGCAAUGGACGCAAGUCUGACGGAGCAACGCCGCGUGAGUGAAGAAGGAUUUCGGUUCGUAAAACUCUGUUGUUAGAGAAGAACAGCGCAUAGAGUAACUGUUAUGCGUGUGACGGUAUCUAACCAGAAAGCCCCGGCUAACUACGUGCCAGCAGCCGCGGUAAUACGUAGGGGGCUAGCGUUGUCCGGAAUCACUGGGCGUAAAGGGUUCGCAGGCGGAAAUGCAAGUCAGGUGUAAAAGGCAGUAGCUUAACUACUGUAAGCAUUUGAAACUGCAUAUCUUGAGAAGAGUAGAGGUAAGUGGAAUUUUUAGUGUAACGGUGAAAUGCGUAGAUAUUAAAAAGAAUACCGGUGGCGAAGGCGACUUACUGGGCUCAUUCUGACGCUGAGGAACGAAAGCGUGGGUAGCAAACAGG
rnacentral:rRNA from 1 species